rnacentral:rRNA from 1 species
CCUACGGGAGGCAGCAGUGGGGAAUAUUGCACAAUGGGGGAAACCCUGAUGCAGCGACGCCGCGUGAGUGAAGAAGUAAGUCGUUAUGUAAAGCUCUAUCAGUAGGGAAGAAAAUGACGGGACCUGAGCAAGAAGCUACGGAGAACUACGUGACAGCAGCGGCGGUAAUACGUAGGGGGCAAGCGUUAUCCGGAUUUACCGGGGGGAAAGGGAGCGGAGACGGAAGUGUAAGACCGUGGUGAAAGUCGGCGGGUCAACCGCCGAACUGCAAUGGAAACGGUACGGCUGGAGUGCAGGAGAGGUAAGUGGAAUUCCUGGUGUAGCGGUGAAAUGCGUAGAUAUUACGAGGAACACCAAUGGCGAAGGCGGCUUACUAGACUGUAACUGACGUUGAGGCUCGAAAGCGUGGGGAGCAAACAGGAUUAGAUACCCGUGUAGUC